rnacentral:rRNA from 1 species
GAGUUUGAUUCUGGCUCAGGAUGAACGCUGGCGGCAGGCUAAUACAUGCAAGUCGAACGGUAAGGCCGAGUGUAGCAAUACACGAGGUACACGAGUGGCGCACGGGUGCGUAACGCGUAUGCAACCUGCCCCCGACCGGGACAAAACAGCUGGAAACGGCUGCUAAUAUCCCAUGGUCAUGCGGAAGGGCAUCCUUCUUCAUGUAAAGAUUCAUUGGUCGGGGAUGGGCAUGCGUAUUAUUAGGUAGUUGGCGGGGUAACGGCCCACCAAGCCGACGAUGAUUAGGGGUCCUGAGAGGGUUAACCCCCACACUGGAACUGAGACACGGUCCAGACUCCUACGGGAGGCAGCAGUAGGGAAUAUUGGGCAAUGGGAGCAAUCCUGACCCAGCCAUGCCGCCGUGAAGGAAGACGGCCCUAUGGGUUGUAAACUUCUUUUGCCGCAGAGUAAACCCGGUCACGAGUGGUCGGUUGAGAGUAUGCGGCGAAUAAGUAUCGGCUAACUCCGUGCCAGCCGCCGC